AUUGAACGCUGGCGGCAGGCCUAACACAUGCAAGUCGAACGGUAACAGAAAGCAGCUUGCUGCUUUGCUGACGAGUGGCGGACGGGUGAGUAAUGUCUGGGAAACUGCCUGAUGGAGGGGGAUAACUACUGGAAACGGUAGCUAAUACCGCAUAACAUCGCAAGACCAAAGAGGGGGACCUUCGGGCCUCUUGCCAUCGGAUGUGCCCAGAUGGGAUUAGCUAGUAGGUGGGGUAAAGGCUCACCUAGGCGACGAUCCCUAGCUGGUCUGAGAGGAUGACCAGCCACCCUGGAACUGAGACACGGUCCAGACUCCUACGGGAGGCAGCAGUGGGGAAUAUUGCACAAUGGGCGCAAGCCUGAUGCAGCCAUGCCGCGUGUAUGAAGAAGGCCUUCGGGUUGUAAAGUACUUUCAGCGGGGAGGAAGGGAGUAAAGUUAAUACCUUUGCUCAUUGACGUUACCCGCAGAAGAAGCACCGGCUAACUCCGUG
rnacentral:rRNA from 1 species